UAUGCCUGAGUAUGUAGUGUAUAAAAGUUUUUGAUACUUUAGGUAAUAAUUUAUUUUAUUAGGUGUAG
rnacentral:tRNA from 1 species